UAAACGACUCUCGGCAACGNAUAUCUCGGCUCUCGCAUCGAUGAAGAACGUAGCGAAAUGCGAUACUUGGUGUGAAUUGCAGAAUCCCGUGAACCAUCGAGUCUUUGAACGCAAGUUGCGCCCGAAGCCUUUUGGCCGAGGGCACGCCUGCCUGGGCGUCACGCA
rnacentral:rRNA from 1 species